rnacentral:lncRNA from 1 species
UGUAUUUGAUGAAGAAAAUAAAAGUGGAAUUUUUUUUGUUUGAUUGAAGCAGACACUGAAGUUUCCAAAUUACAUGUGAGAAAAUAGAAGACAAAAAAUUGCCCCUCAAUCUACAGAAUAAAAAUUCAAGGCUAUGAUGAAACCAUUCUGAUGAGGUCUGCAUCCCUAGGAAUGACCUCAUCUAAUGAAUUGGACAAGGAUAUGGAUUUUAGGAGAAGAGGGUUCUGCCCAGAGUGGAAGCAACUUGAGGUUAUCAAUAUCUGGGAAGUAAUGAUGGAGUAUUGCUUCGAUGCUUUGUGAUUCUUGACCAAUUCUCAACUGGAUGAUUUUUAAGCCCUUUGGCUUAAAUUAAAUUUGGACAUCAAUACAAGGGCUAAGAAAUGGAUUACAGGUACAAUGCAACUCCAGUUUUAACCAGAUUAAUGCAUUAUUAGUACCUGAAUUGCUACGUCUUUCCACUG